AUUUGAGCCACCCACGCCGUCUUUGGGCGCGUCCAGUACUUCGGCCAAUUCGAUUCCUCUGUCCGUGUUCACCACGACGCGAUCGCCACGGCGGCAAGGAAUUCGAUUGAUGGAACCAACUCGCCCAACGUGUCCCAACGUUCCGCAGCGAACGAGAUAGCAGUAGAUCUCAUCCACGG
rnacentral:rRNA from 1 species